AACUGUGCAUCAGGACACUUAUUAUAAAUUAGGUAGCCUAUAUUCCAAUUAUUUUUAACUACCUAAAAUCAGUGCAUAUAACCUUAAACAUUUGGAGCUUCUGGUUUCUAGUGUUGUAAUACAAGUGCAAGUGUUACAGGCUGCUUAAUUGCUUGUUAAGCUGCAGCCAAUCACAACACUGCCUCCCUCCUCCACUCAUUUGCAGCCUCUUUGAUCUGUGCGUGAGACCUGCGCGGCUUGCUUCAGUCCGGUUGUUUGGAUGCGGACGGUGCAGUAUGCUGAAUCGCGAAGAUUACGCUGAGGAUGUUCAGACAAAAUACUCCCAUUAGAGGACCAAAGCGACGGGGGCAAACAAGACUUGCAACUUUCAGAGUUGGUCUCUUCCUCCAUCCUGCUAUGGAAACAUUCCACCCACAUAAAGACUGCUGUAUGGAAUGUCCAGUGCAUAGAGAGAACUUCGCAGUGGGAGAGCCAGUCAGACAGCUACCCUGUAACCACUUUCAUUCAGAAUGUAUUGUACCAUGGCUGGAAAUGCAUGUCCAGUGUGCAGGAAGAGUUUAAACGGAGAAGACGGCAGCAGCCAGACCCCAUCAGAAUAUCUGCCCUCUCCAUGGAUGCCGCAAACAGGAGAGAUUGUCCUUCUGAGACACCAGUCAUCCCUCGGUUCUCCUCGCCUACAUCAAACACGCCGAGAAGACAAAGCGCUUGUCACGUUCUCUUUGCUAUCUGUUGCAGUCAUAAUCAUCUCAGUCUGAUAUUCCUUUGUAUUUCUUUGUAUUUGUUUAAUUUAUUUAAUGCCUUUCUGCACCAUGUAAACUGUUACCAAUACAGGCUUCCUAACAGUCGGUUGAGUUCAAGCCCAUGUCUUCACCUCUCAAGCAACUCCAUCUUUCUUGACAUGCACUGCGGCAAUAUGCUAUUAUGGGGAAAUGCCAGACUUUAUAUCAUACCAUGUCCUCUUUACACAUCAGCAAAUUUGCUAAUCCUGCAACUUGAGCACUACAUUUACAUU